UACGUAGGGUGCGAGCGUUAAUCGGAAUUACUGGGCGUAAAGCGUGCGCAGGCGGCGCGUUAAGACAGGUGUGAAAUCCCCGGGCUUAACCUGGGAAUUGCGCUUGUUACUGGCAGACUAGAGUGCGUCAGAGGGAGGUGGAAUUCCACGUGUAGCAGUGAAAUGCGUAGAGAUGUGGAGGAACACCGAUGGCGAAGGCAGCCUCCUGGGAUGACACUGACGCUCAUACACGAAAGCGUGGGGAGCAAACAGG
rnacentral:rRNA from 1 species